rnacentral:lncRNA from 1 species
GGCUGAGAUAGGAGGAUCAUCUAAGCCCAGGAAGUUGAGGCUACAGUGAGCCACUGCACUCCAACCUGGGCAACAAAGCAAGAAGACCCUGUCUCAAAGGAAAAAAAAAAAUAGCACCAGCUAUUUUUAAAAAAUCCCCCAUGGAAGUCAGGAACACUUUUAUUCACUAAAAUGUUUUUUAAAGCACCUCUGCCCAUAAAUGCAACACAAACAAGUUGCCCUGUGAGUCACAGGACGAGAGCACAUGCUAAGUCCGCGUAAUGAUCUUUAUGUAAUUUGCCCCUUAGUCAUUGUCUGGCCCAUUAGGUAAACAGGCAGUGUGCAUUUCUUUGAAAAUAAGGGUCUCUAUAAAAACUGCCAUUGUGAAUAGACUGAGCAAUAAAGCGCCCCACAAGGUGUAUCACUGUGGCCUAUCUGAGCCUUAGGGGCAAACGCUGAAGUCUCUCAGUGGAUAUCGACUUUGCACAGGAAAAAAGGCACUGAGACCCUGGAGGUGGAGCAUGGAGCUCUGCCGCCUCGCUUCCUCUGUGAGCUCGGCCCUGGCAUUCCUCACAUCACUGCUGGCCCUUGAGUAACAGGCCCCACACUUUCAUGAAUAUAAUAGAAAGAAAGCAGAAUUCGGUCUUAAAUGUAGUUGAAAGCCACAUCGAGGAAGAUGUGGUGAAAUACGCUCCCUGCCUCCAUUUCCUCUAUAAAGUGGGACAAUGAUAGUAACAACCUCAAUUUGUUUGUAUGAGAAUGAAAUGGGACACUGCACAGGCACCCUUAGCAUGCGCUGUGGACAGAGCUCUCUUCCUUACUAGCUGGUAGUAUGCGCCAAGAGGGGAUGAGCCCAGCCUAUCUGUGGGAGAGUCAUCAGGGCUUUUUGAGCAUUGGUGCCCACCAAGAAGUGUGAUGGGCCUGGAUUAUGAAGGGCUUCAAAAAUUGGCAGAUGAACUUCAACUUCCUGCUAAACACCAUCGUGUAUGCAGUUAUUUUCCUCCCCUCAGCUCCCCACAGUAUUCCUCUGCUGUUCCAAAUGUCCAUGAUUCUUUCAAAUCAUGGAAACUAAGAUCCUGUCUGUCACUAGCUCUCAAAAAGUUUUGAAAAAUGUCACAUGCUACAAAUCAGGGCCUGGUUUGUUGUUUUGUCCUGCAAAGAGGCUGUUCAUAUCGUGUCUUCAUUGUUUCACCUUCAUCUCACUUGCUAACUGAAGAACACUUGAACAUGCACUGACUUCCUGAGGGCCACCAGGCAUUUAGGGAGAUGCCCAGUGAGAGGAAGGCAGCCUUGUGUCCCUUAUAAUGAGACCCUUCUCUGAAAUUAUUAAAUAAUCUACCUUGCAGUAAAAACUGCUGAUUCUUCGUGGAGGUCUCUUCAAAUACAAUGAUCUGUGAAAAUUCUGCCUACAGAAUUUUAAGAAAAACCAAGAGUACCAAUUAACUAAAAAAUUUAUAUAAAAUUAAUGAUGAAAACAAUGACCAUUAACAAACAUUAAUAAACAAAAUAUCAACCAACAUUCACACGGGAACCACGUGCUGGGAGACAUUUGGUGACCAUUUACCAGCACGCCA